rnacentral:rRNA from 1 species
UGGGGAAUAUUGCACAAUGGAGGGAACUCUGAUGCAGCGACGCCGCGUGAACGAAGAAGGCUUUCGAGUCGUAAAGUUCUUUUAUAUGGGAAGAUAAUGACGGUACCAUAAGAAAAAGCCCCGGCUAACUAUGUGCCAGCAGCCGCGGUAAUACGUAGGGGGCUAGCGUUGUCCGGAAUCACUGGGCGUAAAGGGUUCGCAGGCGGAAAUGCAAGUCAGGUGUAAAAGGCAGUAGCUUAACUACUGUAAGCAUUUGAAACUGCAUAUCUUGAGAAGAGUAGAGGUAAGUGGAAUUUUUAGUGUAGCGGUGAAAUGCGUAGAUAUUAAAAAGAAUACCGGUGGCGAAGGCGGCUUACUGGGCUCAUUCUGACGCUGAGGAACGAAAGCGUGGGUAGCAAACAGG